CACUGACAUUAGAUACCCGUGUAGUCCAGGGUGUAAACGCUGCAGACUUGGUGUUGGAAGCCCUUUGGGGGCAUUCAGUGCCGGAGAGAAGUUGUUAAGUCUGCUACUUGGGGAGUACGUCCGCAAGGAUGAAACUUAAAGGAAUUGGCGGGGGAGCACCGCAACGGGAGGAGCGUGCGGUUUAAUUGGAUUCAACACCGUAAAACUCACCAGGGAAGACUGUUACAUGAAGGCCGAGAUGAAGACUCUGCUAGAUUUUCAG
rnacentral:rRNA from 1 species